CGCGGGGUAGAGCAGCCUGGUAGCUCGUCGGGCUCAUAACCCGAAGGUCGGGAGUUCAAAUCUCCCCCCCGCCACCA
rnacentral:tRNA from 17 species